CGUGGAGUGAUUUGUCUGGUUUAUUCCGAUAACGAACGAGACUCUAACCUGCUAACUAGUUGGCUGAUAGCCUCGUCAGUUCGACUUCUUAGAGGGAUAAGUGGUGUUUAGCCACAUGAUAUUGAGCAAUAACAGGUCUGUGAUGCCCUUAGAUGUUCGGGGCUGCACGCGCGCUACACUGGAAAGAUCAGCGUGUUGCAUGCUUCCUUGGCCGAAAGGUCUCGGCAAUCCAUUGAAAACUUUCCGUGAUCGGGAUAGGGAAUUGCAAUUAUUUCCCUUCAACGAGGAAUUCCCAGUAAGUGUGAGUCAUCAGCUCACGUUGAAUACGUCCCUGCCCUUUGUAC
rnacentral:rRNA from 1 species